AUACGGAGGGUGCAAGCGUUAAUCGGAAUUACUGGGCGUAAAGGGCGCGUAGGCGGCUCUGUAAGUCGGGUGUGAAAGCCCCGGGCUCAACCCGGGAAUUGCAUUCGAUACUGCAGGGCUAGAGUAUGGGAGAGGAAAGCGGAAUUCCCGGUGUAGCGGUGAAAUGCGUAGCUAUCGGGAGGAACACCAGUGGCGAAGGCGGCUUUCUGGACCAAUACUGACGCUGAGGCGCGAAAGCGUGGGGAGCAAACAGGAUUAGAUACCCCAGUAGUCC
rnacentral:rRNA from 1 species